GAUGAAGAACGUAGCGAAAUGCGAUAAGUAAUGUGAAUUGCAGAAUUCAGUGAAUCAUCGAAUCUUUGAACGCACAUUGCGCCCGCCAGUAUUCUGGCGGGCAUGCCUGUCUGAGCGUCAUUUCAACCCUCAUGCCCCUAGGGCGUGGUGUUGGGGAUCGGCCAAAGCCCGCGAGGGACGGCCGGCCCCUAAAUCUAGUGGCGUACCCGUCGUGGCCUCCUCUGCGAAGUAGUGAUAUUCCGCAUCGGAGAGCGACGAGCCCCUGCCGUUAAACCCCCAACUUUCCAAGGUUGACCUCAGAUCAGGUAGGAAUACCCGCUGAACUUAAGCAUAUCAAUAAGCGGAGGA
rnacentral:misc_RNA from 1 species